rnacentral:lncRNA from 1 species
AUGGACCCUGGCUUGAAAGGUGUUGGAGGUAGUCACUGGAACAAGAUUGCCCAAAAUUUGUGUCCACUUGAAAUGCUCCGUGUUUGUAAUCACCAAGCAAGAAUGAGCAGGUCUUGGUUGCUGGCAUCUCUUUCACGAUAACUGAGGCAUGCUGAGUGAGAAGCAUACGCGAAAGCAAAGAGGGAGUUCAGAGAGAGAUGGAAGAUGGAGGCAAAGAGAAAAAAAAAAAGGAAGUGUUGAGUUUUUAAACAGAAAACAAAGAAGCCUAUAACCUAAAAACCCACAACCUAAAGGUAACAGCCAUUUCCUAUUUCUGUGAAAACUGUUAGGGUUUCUCUAAAGGAAGUGGGGGGGAGGUGGGGAGAGGACAGUUCCUGGUAUUUUCCUGAGAUUAGA